rnacentral:lncRNA from 1 species
UAUCGACUCGCUCCACAUUGAAAGUCCCAGGGAUUUCUCUAAAAUCUUCAUUGAAGAUGGGAUAAGCACUGAGUUAUUCGUUGUUAUAGUGUUGUUUUUGAAAUGAUGAUCACAACUAAUGCUAGUUUAAAAAAUGUUGCAUAAAUAAUGCCAGCGCCAUUACAAAUGGCGAAUUUUUAAAGGUAGUAGGUUGUGUAAGGGAAUAAUCAGAAAUGUGUAAGAACCAAUCAUCUUGAAAAGGACGAAAAGCUGCAAAGAGCCAUUUGGAAUGGCGAAAACCUGCAAAAUGCCAUUUGGAAUGGCGAAAUCCUGCAAAAAGCCAUUUGUAAUGGCGAAACUUUUCCAAGUCUACAUGUUUAGCCAUUGAAAAUGGCAAAAAAUUUUAAAGGUUGCAUGCUUAGCCAUUCAAAAUGGCGAUUUUUUAUAAAGCCAUUCAAAAUUUUAAAUUUCUGUCUGUCGCAAUGCAAAUUGUAGAAAAGGUCAGUCGGUCACUAUCCAUUAAUUGCUUUACUAUAUAUUAAUAUACCAUAAAAUUAAAAUUGAAUUAAAAAUAUAUUUUUCAGCAAGAAUUAGUGAUGUUAUAUUAUCCGGCUGUUAACAUGGCAGAUUCAUAAGGGAAAGUAAACUGUACAUUUGGGUUUAUGAUUUGUAACUUUGAUUAUCAGAGAAAAGAUUGCCAUCAGAAGCAUAUCUACUCAACAAAAUAUAUAUAUCGAGAUCAUCAAAAUUCGUAAGUUAUGAACCUGAAAUACCAUAAGCUUACCGGGUAUCUUCAGCUUAUCAUGUAAGAUAACAAAAAGCCGCCUCUUCCAUUUACUGUUUAAUUCUGGGACCUGAAACUUCUGCAAUGUGGUCCUCAUCAUCGUCAAAUCCAUUUUUGUGCGCAGUGCUGGCAUCAUUGAAAGUACCAAAACAAAAAACAUAACAGAUGUAUACCAGUACUGUUGUCGAUGUUAUAAAACGAUUAUGAGGCUCAGAUUUGUAAACAAUCAAACAUAGUAGAUAAAUCCGCCAUGGCUGCAUACUUACGGUUGCCAUGUGAAACCACAUGACC